GCAAGUAUGGGUGGAAGGGAAGCAGUGACCCUGUCAGCAGCCUAGAAGAAGAAACCUAAGGGGACCAGACCUGAAUAGCUGUAGGAGCAUCUAGGAGGCUCAGCCACUGCUGGUGGGCUCUGAGGGAGGAGGAGAGCUGGCCCCUUAGUACUGGGUAGACCUUGACCCUCUUCCCCCCACUUUCCCAAUGCCAGCCUCUAGGCAGUCAGGGCUGGACCUAGACUUUGGAGGACUUGGAGUUCCUCCACAGCCAGCUCAGACCAGAGUCAUGCUGACAACUCACAGCAAAAUUCAGACAGUCUGCAAGGCAGCCCUCCUACUGUGUUCAGCCUGGAUCACCCUGGCACCAGAAAACCUGCUUACUUUCAGCAAAGGAGCCUUUGAUCUCCUCCACCUUGGAUGACUGACAAUUCCAGAUUGAAGCCAUCCCUAGUGGGAAAUACAGAAACGGGACUGGAAACCCAACAGCCAUCUAGGCAGCCACAACCUCCUGUUUGCCUGCCUGAGCACCUCUCAGGACACACUAUGGAGGACCACCCUGCUUGCCCAAGCCUGGAGGCUCAACAGCCAGCAGGCCACUUGGAGCAGUUUGGAAAAAGGGAUGGAGCUGGGAGCUUCAGAACUGAUGGGGGCUGCAAAAGAGAGUGGGGUUCAACCCCAGCAGAAUCAUUCCAGUCUCUGCCAAGGUUUCUGAUCCUGGAGCCUGAACCACAGCAGUAGAAACUAAAUGUCUCCCAGUAUGGACACUGAACGCUGGUCCUGGGACAAUGUCCUCCAUUGAAGCAGAGAUCAAAGAAGCUGUGAGGAAAGAAGGAGGCAGAGAGCAGAGCUGUGGCAGGCCAUUCAGAAAGGGGAUCUUGAAGAGAACCCCUGGCUCAGGAGGAAGGAAGGCGUGAAACUGGAGAUAACCUGAGAACUUGCUUGUGUCUCAGUCUUCAGAGAACUGCAGGAAAGAUCUGGACACCCAGAUGGGUGAUGUAUCUACAGUACCUCCCGAUGCAUACACCCUGACUUCAAUUGUUGGAGUAUCAGCAUAGAAGCUUUUUCUAUGUUUAUUAAUGAAUUUGUUCAUUUAUUCAUCCAUCCAAUUUUCAUUCAUUCAUUCAAUCAUUCAUUCAUUCAUUCUUUGGUAGUUUAAAGGAAGGUGGUCCUCCUUUUUGAAUAUUUGGUUCCUAGUUUGUAGAACUCUUUUCCAAAGAUAAGAAGAUGUGUUCUUUUUGGAAGUAAGUGGCACCAAGUGUUCCUCUGUCUGUAUCUCAUUCUGUCUCUGUCUCUGUCUCUAUCUCUGUCUCUGUCUCUCUCUCUCUCUCCUGUUCAGCCUUGUGCUGGGGACAAGAUGUGAGUAAUCUCAGCCAUUUCUUCUCUCUGCCAUCAUGGACUCUAACUGGUUAAUUUCAUGCAACUCUGGUCUCUUUCUGGCUCUUUCUCCUCCUACCUCUCAACCCUCCUUGAGUUCUUUAGCCAACUUUUCUCCACACAUCUCACUCAGCUUCUCUCAUGUGGUGACAGGAAAACCUGAUUUCAUGUAUCUAGCCAGCCUUGGGCACACAGGUGAGAGUCAGUGGAUCUCUGUGCUCUGGAGCCUUGGUCAUCCAUUGCAUGGGACUGUCUCCAGACACAAGCAUCUUUCUGCAGACCAUACAACUUCAUUCUUCUGUGAAGAACAGUCAUUCUUGCACAUCUGAUCCCCACACCCACUUCAUUCAGCCUUUCACCAGUGGAAAUGCUACUUUCAUUGGUUGUGUCACUCAGCUUUUAGAAACAGGGCCACAAGUGAGGUCAUUGUUUAGGUAUCUCUGGGGUUUGUUCUGGACUCUAAGAACACUGGUCACGCACAUGUCACUCAGCCACGCUAGGAGGCAGAACACCCAGAGAGGGAAAACCAAACUCCAACCAACAACAACACCAAAUCAAACUAGGUAAAUCCAUAGAAACCAGAGCAGCAUUAUUUGAGUUCUAACAUUAAAACCUCUAAAUGUGCAUAGAGAAAUGCAACAGGGUCAUGCCAGGCAUACAGUUAACACUGUAAAGACACAUAGGAAAGAGUUACAGUUUUCUGAGGAGAGUCCUUGAGAGGAUCCUGUAGUGCUACAGUAGGAGAAGCUACAACCCGCAAACCAGACACAUUGAAGUUCACAUUUUCAGUUAGAGCUGUUUGGGCAAAAGAGUAUAUUGUAUGACACAGACUGACACACCUCAACUGUCACAGAGAGAUGUUUUCAUGCAUUUGUUUGUUUUAAGUGUGUGUGUGUGUGUGUGUGUGUGUGUGUGUGUUGCAGUGUUUCAAGGGCAGAGGGAGGAUAAGGAGGGAUAGGAAGGUGAGCAGGAUUGGGCUGUAAAUGAACAAUUCACAAAGAAUCAAUGGAAAGUUUAAAAACUUAAGGAGGAUAUACUUAUUAAAAUCUGUGUAGAUGAAACUAUGCAUGGAAGAGCAGUCAGAGGACAAACUGGCUCCGACUUUGAAGGAGAGGUGGGAUGUGUGCAUGGCCUGCACCUAAGGCAAGGGCAGGUUUUCAGUCUGGCAAGUCACUUGAGACCUCAGACCCACAACCCCUGGAAGACACAAAUUGGCAGCUGGACCAAGUCUCAGAUGCAGCUGUGUUCUUUCCUGUGUCAGGAAAUUUCCUUUUCCGUGAAAAGCAUUUCUUUCAUAUUUUUUUGACAUGUUGUCAGUUUUUAAGUAAAGUACAGGUUUUUUUGUUUUGUUUUGUUUUGUUUCUUGGUUUUUGCUUUUUUUGAGACAGGGUUUCUCUGUAUAUCCCUGGCUGUCCUGGAACUUACUCUGUAAACAAGGCUGGCCUAGAACACAGAAUCUGCCAGCCUUUGCCUCCCAAGUGCUAGGAUUAAAUGCGUGCUCCACCAUCGCCUGGCCAAUUUGUUAACAGUAUCAUUUGCAAAGUUCUAUGUUAGAUUUUUAUUUCUCCGGGUUUUUUGUUUUAUUUUUGUUUUUUUAAUGCUGUAUGGUUUCAUGAUGGACCUGGACAGUGUAGCCAAUAUCUGGUAACUUUUAUACCAUUUUGUGCAGUUUUGAGAUUGUCCUUUAGUAAGAACACAUUUCCACUCUUUUCUCUUUCCAAACUUCCCAUGAGCACAGCUCACUCCAUAGCCUUCCUCAAUAUCCUCUCACAGACACAUAACAGGCUGAGACCAUAACUCUACUGAUGGCCUAGGGAGCAAAUUCCAAAAGGAAUCCGACCAUUGAAUUUUUUUUUCCUUCCUUUAGAAACAGCAGGAGGACAAGACUCCAGGGAAAGAAAGUGAAACCCUGGUGUUCUAUGGAAUCACCUGCAUACUGGAUGUGAGAACAAAGUGGGUUCUCCCAGAAUCCCACCUGAGCCUGCUGGGCAGAGUGUGAUACUGGUUACAAAACAAUCAGAAACAAAACGACAGAAAAGAAACCGCUUAUGGUCUUUGUAAUCUCAGUCGAGUUUCCUUAGGAACUUCGCAAGUUGGACAUCUAACAGACUUAAAAAGUAACUUUACCGAUGGUCAACUGUACGAUAUCCACGAAUGGCAAGCAAUCGAAGAAUUGAUCUUUCAUUCUUCAGAGACACCUGGCACACUAAGACUAAAGAAACAAAUGAAAAAUCUAGCGAUCUGGUCACAUCCCUUGAGUCCUUGCAAUGGGAGCAGUGUAUUCACCUGCCUGUCCGAUUUUGAAUAUGGUUCUAACAGGAAAGUGCAAUCAAGUUUACAAAUCACAGUAAAGAAAACGCAUAUGAUG